ensembl:lncRNA
GCCAAUUCUUGUAAAUAACCCAUGAAAACACAUUCAUACUAAAUAACUCUGAAACCAGAGCUCUUUCUUUCUUUCUUUCUUUCUUUCUUUCUUUCUUUCUUUAUUUAUUUAUUUAUUUAUUUAUAUUCCCCUGGUUAAUUAAUGAAUAAAAGACAGAAACAAUGUUAUAGCUGCAAAAAUUAUGUUAGAUUGCUAUAAUUUUAAGACACAAAAAUGUGAAUUUUCGGACACAGCUCACUGAUAGAAACUUAAGGAAAGAUGAUGAUAUGGAAGGCUCUUUGGCAGAGGCCUUAUGGCAGUUGAGAUUAUUGUCUCUGAGUGAGAGCCUGCAUACUUAGGAGAAUGUGAACAACAUUUUCUUCAGUCUACACAGAAGAUUUUAUCAAAUCUGGACAUCGCGGAAACUUGACUUCAGGAAAGAAGGUCUGUAGAUUCAAGAUUUUACAGUCACAGUGCCACAGAUGUGCACCCAGUAUUACUUCCCUUCUGCCAGAUGUGCCUGCCUGGGAAGUAGAAGAGACAUUAACAUUCAACACACUGUCCUCUGAGGGACAAAAAGGACAUUUAAGGUUGGGAUGGAAAAGCCCUAUGAUCAGUACAUUCCCUAGUUCUGUCCUUAAUCUACUGGACACAAAUGAACUUGAGUUGACCUGUACAUGAACUCGUAAAUAAUCAUUACAAUAAUAAAAACGGAGAAAAGAGAAAAAGAGGGAUAGAAGAAGAGAAUCUUGUUUAAUACACAAAAAAUAUUGUUUGUACAGAAUUCCCCAUUAACUUUUUCCUUUUUUUUUUUUUUUGCCUGUAAGUUAACAAGCAUAUUACAUUUUUAUAUCCCUUUUGAAACUAGU